GUAACCUGCCUGUAAGACUGGGAUAACUCCGGGAAACCGGAGCUAAUACCGGAUAGUUCCUUGAACCGCAUGGUUCAAGGAUGAAAGACGGUUUCGGCUGUCACUUACAGAUGGACCCGCGGCGCAUUAGCUAGUUGGUGGGGUAAUGGCUCACCAAGGCGACGAUGCGUAGCCGACCUGAGAGGGUGAUCGGCCACACUGGGACUGAGACACGGCCCAGACUCCUACGGGAGGCAGCAGUAGGGAAUCUUCCGCAAUGGACGAAAGUCUGACGGAGCAACGCCGCGUGAGUGAUGAAGGUUUUCGGAUCGUAAAGCUCUGUUGUUAGGGAAGAACAAGUGCGAGAGUAACUGCUCGCACCUUGACGGUACCUAACCAGAAAGCCACGGCUAACUACGUGCCAGCAGCCGCGGUAAUACGUAAGUGGCAAGCGUUGUCCGGAAUUAUUGGGCGUAAAGGGCUCGCAGGCGGUUUCUUAAGUCUGAUGUGAAAGCCCCCGGCUCAACCGGGGAGGGUCAUUGGAAACUGGGAAACUUGAGUGCAGAAGAGGAGAGUGGAAUUACCACGUGUAGCGGUGAAAUGCGUAGAGAUGUGGAGGAACACCAGUGGCGAAGGCGACUCUCUGGUCUGUAACUGACGCUGAGGAGCGAAAGCGUGGGGAGCGAACAGGAUUAGAUACCCUGGUAGUCCACGCCGUAAACGAUGAGUGCUAAGUGUUAGGGGGUUUCCGCCCCUUAGUGCUGCAGCUAACGCAUUAAGCACUCCGCCUGGGGAGUACGGUCGCAAGACUGAAACUCAAAGGAAUUGACGGGGGCCCGCACAAGCGGUGGAGCAUGUGGUUUAAUUCGAAGCAACGCGAAGAACCUUACCAGGUCUUGACAUCCUCUGACAACCCUAGAGAUAGGGCUUUCCCUUCGGGGACAGAGUGACAGGUGGUGCAUGGUUGUCGUCAGCUCGUGUCGUGAGAUGUUGGGUUAAGUCCCGCAACGAGCGCAACCCUUGAUCUUAGUUGCCAGCAUUCAGUUGGGCACUCUAAGGUGACUGCCGGUGACAAACCGGAGGAAGGUGGGGAUGACGUCAAAUCAUCAUGCCCCUUAUGACCUGGGCUACACACGUGCUACAAUGGACAGAACAAAGGGCUGCGAGACCGCAAGGUUUAGCCAAUCCCAUAAAUCUGUUCUCAGUUCGGAUCGCAGUCUGCAACUCGACUGCGUGAAGCUGGAAUCGCUAGUAAUCGCGGAU
rnacentral:rRNA from 1 species